rnacentral:rRNA from 1 species
GAUGAACGCUGGCGGCGUGCCUAAUACAUGCAAGUCGAGCGAAUGGAUUAAGAGCUUGCUCUUAUGAAGUUAGCGGCGGACGGGUGAGUAACACGUGGGUAACCUGCCCAUAAGACUGGGAUAACUCCGGGAAACCGGGGCUAAUACCGGAUAACGUUUUGAACCGCAUGGUUCGAAAUUGAAAGGCGGCUUCGGCUGUCACUUAUGGAUGGACCCGCGUCGCAUUAGCUAGUCGGUGAGGUAACGGCUCACCAAGGCAACGAUGCGUAGCCGACCUGAGAGGGUGAUCGGCAACACUGGGACUGGGACACGGCCCAGACUCCUACGGGAGGCAGCAGUAGGGAAUCUUCCGCAAUGGACGAAAGUCUGACGGAGCAACGCCGCGUGAGUGAUGAAGGCUUUCGGGUCGUAAAACUCUGUUGUUAGGGAAGAACAAGUGCUAGUUGAAUAAGCUGGCACCUUGACGGUACCUAACCAGAAAGCCACGGCUAACUACGUGCCAGCCGCCGCCGUAA